UCUUGUAUGUAUGGUGGUCUUGAAUUCUGCCACCUUGCUGAACUCACUUACUAGUCUUCAUCUUUUUUUUGUACAUUUCUUGGGAUUUUCUACAUAGACAAUUAAAUACACAUUCCUAAGUGAAAUAAACCAAAUUCAAAAGGUCAAAUGCUGUGUGACUUCACUGCAAAAGGCAAAACUAUGGAACAGGAAAUAGAUUCGUGGUUGUCAGGAGGUGGAGUGGGGCGUGGGGUAGAUUACCUACCAGGGGAUGACAGAGGUUUUAGAGGGAUGAAACUAACCCCAUGACUUUGUAGAGGUGGCUAAUUUACAUAUGGUGAAAUUCACUGUUUUGAUGUAUGGUUCUGCAAAAUAUAUCAAAUUUGUCAAAUUUUGUAGAACCAAACAUUAAAACAAUAAAUGUCACCAUAUGUAAAUUAUAUUCUAAUUGAAAAUUAAUUCAAAAAUCAGAUCUCUUGAUUUGUUCUGUUCUGUUCUUGGAUAAAAUUACAGGCACAGUUCAGAGUCUUGCUGAUUCUUUUUAUUACAUAAAAAAUCUCAUUGUAGUAAUUGGAGUCUUGUGCAAUAUAAUACCAAAAUUCUGUCUUUUCAUUCAAUUUAACGUUUCUUUUUUUCCAUUUCAGGCCCUUGUUGAAUUAGAACACUGCUGCUAAAAUCGAAAGCAUGAUGGGGAAACUGAGGCCUGGAGUAACAAGUCAUAUUGCUUCCACGCUGGGAACUCUCCAAUGACAUCUCACACAAUAUGGAGCCAACCUCAAGUUUCCCACCAUAGACCACAAGGCCUUGCGAGUUCUAGCCUUGUCCAAUCUCCCUUAAACGCCCUCAGUCCAAGUGCCUCUGUGAUGAUGGAUUGAGUCCUUCUUGGCUUCCUCCAAAGGGGCAGAACUGCUUUGGAAGUUUCCUCAUGGCAUUGGCAAUGAUCUUACUCUAUGCUGCUUAAAGAGGUUAAAUUGACUUUGCUUUUGUUACCUAAUUAAUGGUUAAGAAUAAAAUUCUGAACGUUUUCAAGGAAACUUCCAAUCCUAGAGCAGGUUUUGUAUGCCUAAGCUUUGGUAUGUUUUCCCAGCCAACACUCAGAAAUAAGCAGGGAACUUUCUAAAAUAAAUGACUGUGUUAUUCUUUUUC